CGCCAGACUCCUACGGGAGGCAGCAGUGGGGAAUAUUGCACAAUGGGGGAAACCCUGAUGCAGCGACGCCGCGUGAGUGAGGAAGUAUUUCGGUAUGUAAAGCUCUAUCAGCAGGGAAGAAAAUGACGGUACCUGAGUAAGAAGCCCCGGCUAACUACGUGCCAGCAGCCGCGGUAAUACGGAGGAUGCGAGCGUUAUCCGGAUUCACUGGGUGUAAAGGGAGCGUAGACGGCCAUGCAAGCCUGGAGUGAAAGCCCGGGGCCCAACCCCGGGACUGCUCUGGGAACUGUGCGGCUGGAGUGCGGGAGGGGCAGGCGGAAUUCCUGGUGUAGCGGUGAAAUGCGUAGAUAUCAGGAGGAACACCGGCGGCGAAGGCGGCCUGCUGGACCGCGACUGACGUUGAGGCUCGAAAGCGUGGGGAGCAAACAGGAUUAGAUACCCCUGUAGUU
rnacentral:rRNA from 1 species